rnacentral:rRNA from 1 species
UACUUACUAUCUGGCGAAACCCAGCCAAGGGAACGGGCUUGGCGAAAACAGCGGGGAAAGAAGACCCUGUUGAGCUUGACUCUAGUCCGACUCUGUGAAGAGACAUGAGAGGUGUAGCAUAAGUGGGAGGUCCUCACGGGCCGACGAUGAAAUACCACUACUUUCAUCGUUUCUUUACUUAUCCGGUGAGACGGAGGGAGGCCCGGCAUGCGAUGCCGUGGCGACUUCUGGCGCCAAGCUGGGGACCGUCCACGUGGCGGCCCCUGGCGAUCCGCACCGGAGACAGUGUCAGGCGGGGAGUUUGACUGGGGCGGUACAUCUGUCAAAAGGUAACGCAGGUGUCCUAAGGCCAGCUCAGCGAGGACGGAAACCUCGCGUAGAGCGAAAGGGCAAAUGCUGGCUUGAUCUUGAUUCUCAGUACGAAUACGGACCGCGAAAGCGUGGCCUAUCGAUCCUUUUGACUUUAAGAGUUUUAAGCAAGAGGUGUCAGAAAAGUUACCACAGGGAUAACUGGCUUGUGGCGCCAAGCGUUCAUAGCGA